rnacentral:rRNA from 1 species
AGCAGCCGCCGCGGUAAUACGGAGGGUGCAAGCGUUAAUCGGAAUUACUGGGCGUAAAGCGCACGCAGGCGGUCUGACAAGUCAGAUGUGAAAUCCCCGGGCUUAACCUGGGAACUGCAUUUGAAACUGUCAGGCUGGAGUCUUGUAGAGGGGGGUAGAAUUCCAGGUGUAGCGGUGAAAUGCGUAGAGAUCUGGAGGAAUACCGGUGGCGAAGGCGGCCCCCUGGACAAAGACUGACGCUCAGGUGCGAAAGCGUGGGGAGCAAACAGGAUUAGAUACCCCAGUAGUCCCUGUCUCUUAUAC